rnacentral:rRNA from 1 species
UCUGACCUGCCCAUCGGAAAACUGAAAGGCCGCGGUAUUAUGACCGUGCAAAGGUAGCAUAAUCAUUAGUUUUUUAAUUGAAGGCUAGAAUGAAUGGUUGGACAAGAAAUAAUCUGUCUUAAAUUAAUAUAUUGAAUUUAACUUUUAAGUGAAAAGGCUUAAAUGAUCUAAGGGGACGAUAAGACCCUAUAAAACUUUAUAUUUUAAGGUGGAAAAUAAUUUUAUUUUAAAAUUACUAUUUUAAAUUAUUUUGUUGGGGCGACAAGGAUAUAAGAAAGGAUAACUGUCUUUUAUUUUUACAAUAAUAUUUGAAUUAUUGAUCCUAAAAGGGAUUAAAGAUUAAGUUACUUUAGGGAUAACAGCGUAAUUUUCUUUGAGAGUUCUUAUCGACAAGAAAGUUUGCGACCUCGAUGUUGAAUUAAAGGUUCUUUAUAGAGUAGAGACUAUAAGAGAAGGUCUGUUCGACCUUUAAAAUUUUACAUGAUUUGA